GACGAACGCUGGCGGCGUGCCUAAUACAUGCAAGUAGAACGCACAGUUUAUACCGUAGCUUGCUACACCAUAGACUGUGAGUUGCGAACGGGUGAGUAACGCGUAGGUAACCUGCCUGGUAGCGGGGGAUAACUAUUGGAAACGAUAGCUAAUACCGCAUAAUAUUAAUUAUUGCAUGAUAAUUAAUUGAAAGGUGCAAUUGCACCACUACCAGAUGGACCUGCGUUGUAUUAGCUAGUAGGUGAGGUAACGGCUCACCUAGGCGACGAUACAUAGCCGACCUGAGAGGGUGAUCGGCCACACUGGGACUGAGACACGGCCCAGACUCCUACGGGAGGCAGCAGUAGGGAAUCUUCGGCAAUAGACGAAAGUCUGACCGAGCAACGCCGCGUGAGUGAAGAAGGUUUUCGGAUCGUAAAGCUCUGUUGUAAGAGAAGAACGGGUGUGAGAGUGGAAAGUUCACACUGUGACGGUAUCUGACCAGAAAGGGACGGCUAACUACGUG
rnacentral:rRNA from 1 species